rnacentral:rRNA from 1 species
UAGGGAAUCUUCCACAAUGGGACGAAAGUCUGAUGGAGCAACGCCGCGUGAGUGAAGAAGGUUUUCGGAUCGUAAAGCUCUGUUGUUGGUGAAGAAGGAUAGAGGCAGUAACUGGUCCUUAUUUGACGGUAAUCAACCAGAAAGUCACGGCUAACUACGUGCCAC